AUUGAACGCUGGCGGCAGGCCUAACACAUGCAAGUCGAGCGGAGCGGCGGAUGGGUGAGUAAUGCCUAGGAAUCUGCCUGGUAGUUGGGGCUAACGUCCGGAAACGGGCGCUAAUACCACAUACUAUCAGAUGAGCCUAGGUCGGAUUAGCUAGUUGGUGGGGUAAAGGCCUACCAAGGCGAAGAUCCGUAACUGGUCAGAGAGGAGGAUCAGUCACACUGGAACUGAGAAACGGUCCAGACUCCUACGGGAGGCAGCAGUGGGGAAUAUUGGACAAUGGGCGAAAGCCUUAUUCAGCCAUGACGCGUGUGUGAAGAAGGUCUUCGGAUUGUAAAGUACUUUAAGUUGGGAGGCGUUACUAACAGAAUAAGCACCGGCUAACUUCGUGCCAGCAGCCGCGGUAAUAC
rnacentral:rRNA from 1 species